GACGAACGCUGGCGGCGUGCUUAACACAUGCAAGUCGAGCGGAAAGGCCCUUUCGGGGGUACUCGAGCGGCGAACGGGUGAGUAACACGUGAGUAAUCUGCCCUGCGCUCUGGGAUAGCCACCGGAAACGGUGAUUAAUACCGGAUAGGACCACUUCACGCAUGUGAUGGUGGUGGAAAGUUUUUUCGGCGCAGGAUGUGCUCGCGGCCUAUCAGCUUGUUGGUGAGGUAACGGCUCACCAAGGCUUUGACGGGUAACCGGCCUGAGAGGGUGACCGGUCACACUGGGACUGAGACACGGCCCAGACUCCUACGGGAGGCAGCAGUGGGGAAUAUUGGACAAUGGGCGGAAGCCUGAUCCAGCAACGCCGCGUGAGGGAUGACGGCCUUCGGGUUGUAAACCUCUUUCAGUACCGACGAAGCGAAAGUGACGGUAGGUACAGAAGAAGGACCGGCCAACUACGUGCCAGCAGCCGCGGUAAUACGUAGGGUCCGAGCGUUGUCCGGAAUUAUUGGGCGUAAAGGGCUCGUAGGCGGUUUGUCGCGUCGGGAGUGAAAACACCGGGCUUAACUCGGUGCUUGCUUUCGAUACGGGCAGACUAGAGGUAUGCAGGGGAGAAUGGAAUUCCUGGUGUAGCGGUGAAAUGCGCAGAUAUCAGGAGGAACACCGGUGGCGAAGGCGGUUCUCUGGGCAUUACCUGACGCUGAGGAGCGAAAGUGUGGGGAGCG
rnacentral:rRNA from 1 species